rnacentral:siRNA from 1 species
UGGCGUUUCCAAGGUUCUUGUC